GACGAACGCUGGCGGCGUGCUUAACACAUGCAAGUCGCACGAAGUGGCGAACGGGUGAGUAAUACGUGGGUAACCUGCCCUCCUUUGUGGGAUAAGCCUUGGAAACGGGGUCUAAUACCGAAUAAAGGGGGAUGGGCUCGCGGUCUAUCAGCUUGGUGGUGGGGUGAUGGCCUACCAAGGCGGUGACGGGUAGCCGACCUGAGAGGGUGACCGGCCACAUUGGGACUGGGAUACGGCGCAGAAUCCUACGGGAGGAAGCAGUGGGGGAUAUUGCACAAUGGGAGAAAGCCUUAUGCAGCGAAGCGGGGUGAACGAAGAAGGCUUUCGAGCAGGAAAGUCCUUUCGGUACCCUAAGAAAAAGCCACGGCUCACUACGUGCCAGCAGCCGCGGUAAUUC
rnacentral:rRNA from 1 species